rnacentral:tRNA from 1 species
GGCCUCGUAGCUCAGCUAGUAGAGCACUCGAGGUACUUAAGCGAGGGCGCUGGCCAUGCGUGGGUUCGAGUCCAGCCGGGGCCA